GGGGGCGAUACGGUUUCGACGGGGAUAAUUGAAUUUCAGGUUGCAUAUCGAGGUUCCAGCUGCUCGUAAAACAGGUGGGCUCAAAGUAAACGCAGACGAUUACGCGUAUGCUCUAGCCGCAUAAAAUGGCUAGCAUCUUGCCGGUCUUUUCCUGCGUGACCGAACAAGAUGUCGACUAGCAGGAUAGUGUUAUCUUUUUCACCUGCAAGGAGAUAAUGCGAAACAAUAUUGCGGGUUAGCCCUGAGGCAGCCCUGCCCAAUUGCGACCCACAGGGUGAAAUUUAUAAUUGGGCUAAGUAUGUAGACGCCUGAAUGGAAGAUUUCCGGACGCGGGUUCGACUCCCGCCGCCUCCACCA
rnacentral:tmRNA from 1 species